UACGGGGGGGGCAAGCGUUGUUCGGAAUUACUGGGCGUAAAGGGCUCGUAGGCGGCCAACUAAGUCGGAUGUGAAAUCCCCAGGCUCAACCUGGGAACUGCAUCCGAUACUGGAUGGCUUGAAUUCGGGAGAGGGAUGCAGAAUUCCAGGUGUAGCGGUGAGAUGCGUAGAUAUCUGGAGGAAUACCGGUGGCGAAGGCGGCAUCCUGGACCGACAUUGACGCUGAUGAGCGAAAGCCAGGGGAGCAAACGGG
rnacentral:rRNA from 1 species